UACGUAGGUGACCAGCGUUGUCCGGAUUUACUGGGCGUAAAGAGCGCGCAGGCGGUCGUUCAAGUCGAGUGUGAAAGCCCCCGGCUCAACUGGGGAGGGUCACUUGAUACUGAUCGACUCGAAGGCAGGAGAGGGAAGCGGAAUUCCCGGUGUAGUGGUGAAAUGCGUAAAUAUCGGGAGGAACACCAGUGGCGAAGGCGGCUUCCUGGCCUGUUCUUGACGCUGAGGCGGCGAAAAGCU
rnacentral:rRNA from 1 species